GACCGCGACCCCAGGUCAGGCGGGAUGCCC
rnacentral:rRNA from 1 species